GCAUCGGUGGUUUAGUGGUAAAAUUAGCCGUUGCCAUCGCAACUUCGGCUAGCCCCGGGUUCGAUUCCCGGCCGAUGCA